GCCAUGGCUCAGUGGUAGAGAAUCUGCUUGGCAUGCAGAAGGUCCCAGGUUCAAUCCCUGGUUGAACCA